UAAUACAGAGGGUGCAAGCGUUAAUCGGAAUGACUGGGCGUAAAGGGCGCGUAGGCGGAUGAAUAAGUUAGAUGUGAAAUACCAAAGCUUAACUUUGGGGCUGCAUAUAAUACUGUUUGUCUAGAAUAGGGUAGAGGGAAGUGGAAUUUUCGGUGUAGCGGUGAAAUGCGUAGAUAUCGGAAAGAACACCGGUGGCGAAGGCGACUUCCUGGGCCCAUAUUGACGCUGAGGCGCGAAAGCGUGGGUAGCGAACAGG
rnacentral:rRNA from 1 species